rnacentral:lncRNA from 1 species
AGGAAAUUCUAAAAGUAUCACUAUUCUUCUAAGGUCAUGCUAAAAUGAAGUUUUGGCUUUUAGAACACAGAGUAAGGAUGAAGAAGGCCAACAUUUUUGUCCAAUACACAUUUGUUGCUACAAGUCCUUAGGGACAACCUCCUGUUUCAAAUAUGAACAUGUGUAUGGAAAAUUAUUCCUAGGAUUUAACCUUCAAAUGAAAAGUGUAAAUAUUUUAAGAAA